GCAAGUCGUACGCACUGGCCCAACUGAUUGAUGGUGCUUGCACCUGAUUGACGAUGGAUCACCAGUGAGUGGCGGACGGGUGAGUAACACGUAGGUAACCUGCCCCGGAGCGGGGGAUAACAUUUGGAAACAGAUGCUAAUACCGCAUAACAACAAAAGCCACAUGGCUUUUGUUUGAAAGAUGGCUUUGGCUAUCACUCUGGGAUGGACCUGCGGUGCAUUAGCUAGUUGGUAAGGUAACGGCUUACCAAGGCGAUGAUGCAUAGCCGAGUUGAGAGACUGAUCGGCCACAAUGGAACUGAGACACGGUCCAUACUCCUACGGGAGGCAGCAGUAGGGAAUCUUCCACAAUGGGCGCAAGCCUGAUGGAGCAACACCGCGUGAGUGAAGAAGGGUUUCGGCUCGUAAAGCUCUGUUGUUGGAGAAGAACGUGCGUGAGAGUAACUGUUCACGCAGUGACGGUAUCCAACCAGAAAGUCACGGCUAACUACGUGCCAGCAGCCGCGGUAAUACGUAGGUGGCAAGCGUUAUCCGGAUUUAUUGGGCGUAAAGCGAGCGCAGGCGGUUGCUUAGGUCUGAUGUGAAAGCCUUCGGCUUAACCGAAGAAGUGCAUCGGAAACCGGGCGACUUGAGUGCAGAAGAGGACAGUGGAACUCCAUGUGUAGCGGUGGAAUGCGUAGAUAUAUGGAAGAACACCAGUGGCGAAGGCGGCUGUCUGGUCUGCAACUGACGCUGAGGCUCGAAAGCAUGGGUAGCGAACAGGAUUAGAUACCCUGGUAGUCCAUGCCGUAAACGAUGAGUGCUAGGUGUUGGAGGGUUUCCGCCCUUCAGUGCCGGAGCUAACGCAUUAAGCACUCCGCCUGGGGAGUACGACCGCAAGGUUGAAACUCAAAGGAAUUGACGGGGGCCCGCACAAGCGGUGGAGCAUGUGGUUUAAUUCGAAGCUACGCGAAGAACCUUACCAGGUCUUGACAUCUUGCGCUAACCUUAGAGAUAAGGCGUUCCCUUCGGGGACGCAAUGACAGGUGGUGCAUGGUCGUCGUCAGCUCGUGUCGUGAGAUGUUGGGUUAAGUCCCGCAACGAGCGCAACCCUUGUUACUAGUUGCCAGCAUUAAGUUGGGCACUCUAGUGAGACUGCCGGUGACAAACCGGAGGAAGGUGGGGACGACGUCAGAUCAUCAUGCCCCUUAUGACCUGGGCUACACACGUGCUACAAUGGACGGUACAACGAGUCGCAAACUCGCGAGAGUAAGCUAAUCUCUUAAAGCCGUUCUCAGUUCGGACUGUAGGCUGCAACUCGCCUACACGAAGUCGGAAUCGCUAGUAAUCGCGGAUCAGCAUGCCGCGGUGAAUACGUUCCCGGGCCUUGUACACACCGCCCGUCACACCAUGGGAGUUUGUAACGCCCAAAG
rnacentral:rRNA from 1 species